UACGAAGGGUGCAAGCGUUAAUCGGAAUUACUGGGCGUAAAGCGCGCGUAGGUGGUUCAGCAAGUUGGAGGUGAAAUCCCCGGGCUCAACCUGGGAACUGCCUCCAAAACUACUGAGCUAGAGUACGGUAGAGGGUAGUGGAAGUUCCUGUGUAGCGGUGAAAUGCGUAGAUAUAGGAAGGAACACCAGUGGCGAAGGCGACUACCUGGACUGAUACUGACACUGAGGUGCGAAAGCGUGGGGAGCAAACAGG
rnacentral:rRNA from 1 species